rnacentral:lncRNA from 1 species
AAACUCUGAGCUUCUCUGCCACGACUGUGGCUAACACACUGAUGGCGCCGAUGGUAAGAGAAUGCUCCCAGUGAAGAAUGUUCCUUCCAUCUAUUUAUGGCUGCCUGCAGAUGGUCUCUGCCUUGAGUAUUUUAAGACUGUGCUGAGGAGAAUUGCUAGGAUUUGGAUGUCCAACUUCGCAGAGUGAACCUCCAGAGGUUCAGAAAACUCUUGAAUAUGUAACAAAUA